UCCUUGUUAGUACAAUGGCUAGUAUAGGGCACUCUCAUAGCUAGAGACCACUGCUCAGAUCGGGGUUCAAUUCCCCGGCAGGGAA